rnacentral:lncRNA from 1 species
UUGCGUCUCUCGCUGUGAAUCUAAUCUUCAGAUUUCUGUUGUCCACCACAAAAUAACUUGAUUAAAGAUACUAUGGGAUCUUGGAGACCUCAGAUGUAGGUGAGGAUGAGAUGCCAGAUAUGAAAUUAUGAAGGAUGAGACAUGUCUGAUGAAGAAGGCUCGGCUAGGUAUAUUAGAACAAUCCAUGUUUUAUUCUUGGCACUAUACAAGUGCAUCUCCUCUUUUACUGUAAUAGCAUGAUGCGCUAAUUUUCUUAUGAGUCUGAUAAAUAUGUAUAAUAUAUGAUUAUUGAAGCCCACAUAUAUUUUUAAGCAAUGCAGUAUGUGGUAUUGUUUUUCAUUUCUGUUAGACAAUAGUAAAAAGAAAAUCUGGUCCAAAAGUAUGUGGUAUACAGUUUUAAAAAAUGGUCUGGUGGUCAGGAGUCAUGUAUGAUAUAGUUAUCAUUUCGAUGCUUAAAGCUGGUCAUUUUGUAGGAAUAUGCCAGGGUUUUUGUCAAAUGCAAGCUGCACUUUAUAUUUUUUCAAAUGGAUUUUCUUAUCAAAUAAUUGUCUCUUACGUGGAUAUACUUUGUGUUAAACCCAAGAAAUAAAAGGUGAAUUAUCCAUGAUUAUGAUCUGGUAUUACUUUGAACAUUUUGUGUGUCAUGGUAUCCUAAAAUACGGUCUGCUUUUUAGAGUUUAUUCCCAUUUACUUGUGUUCUUCCAAAAUAAUAGUAUAUUAGUUGUUUAUUAGACUUCCUUCUGGUUGUUGAAAUUUAAAUGUUUGUCGUGGAAUAGGAAAUUUGAGUACAGUAGCCGUUAGCCUGAAAAUAAUAUAGUGAGCCAUAGAGAAGAUUGUUGCUCUAAUUGACUGGUAUUUAUCGCGCUGAUCUCUUUCUCUCGCACCUACAAUUGUAAAAAUGCCCCUGCUGAAUAUCUUGAACGGUCCUAGAACCUUCUCACUUACAGGUCUAGUGAUCCUUGCGAACUUCUUUCCAACAUUGAAGCACAAAUUGCAAAAGCAAACGAUGAAUCCAUAACAAAGAAAGAUAUCAUGAAGAGAGUAGACAAAUGGCUAUCGGCCUGUGAUGAAGAGACUUGGCUUGAGGAAUAUAAUCAAUCCUGUUUUUUUCAAUGAAAAUAUGCUAGCACAUGGUCCAUCAGUUUAAUAUGAUUUCCCCCUUUUUCUUCUCUAUGUUGGCAUGCUUGUACUGAUAUUCAAUUUGGCUGCCAAGCUAUGAUUUAGGUAAUGUCCUCUUUAAUGUUUGCAUAUGCCCUACUGCAGGAUGAUAAGAGGUACAGGCAGGGGUGCCCAUUUGAAUCUCAAGCAUGCAGAGAAAGCAGGGGUACUUGUUCAAAAGAUUCCAAGUGAGUGAGUCUUCGUUUCUUCAUUUGGACACUGUAGUGAUUUCCGUAUAACUGUGCUCCAUCAUUCAUAAGCGCAAUCUACUUCCUAUUUUGUCAAAAAGAUCCACUGUGAUCUUCGUUUCUUCGGUUGGUCACUCAGUCGCUCAUUUGGUAUGUAAUAUGAUCAGAAGCUACAUUUGUGCAGCUAUGAUUGACAACUUGAUAGACAAGACAUUUGCCUGGGAGGAUGAAAGCAAUACACCAUUUCUUUAUGACGUGGUAAGUCACUGAGCUAGCUCACCAUGAUU